rnacentral:tmRNA from 1 species
GGGGGCGAAUAGUUUCGACGGAAUGUAGGCGAGGACGUGUCGCAGGUCGAGCAAGCUUGUAGCUCGUCAAACUCAGGCAAAAAACAACUGCAAACGCAGAAGUCGAUUCUUUCGACUACGCAAUGGCAGCUUAAUCGCCGCCACAUUCUCUAGCACUUCUCCCGCGAGGGCUAGCGAAUGACAAAAAGUGGGAUAGCUCUUGGGAUGUCUGAUCACGAAGAGCGAAAUUCAUCAGGCUGGUUCUUUAGAAAUCGUGCCGAUGCGAGGGCUAAAGAGCGAGACUCAAAAUAUCGGAUAAACCUGUAGAAGCCGUCAUCAAAUCUUUCCGGACGGGGGUGCGAUUCCCCCCGCCUCCAUAU